CCUACGGGUGGCAGCAGUGGGGAAUAUUGCACAAUGGGGGAAACCCUGAUGCAGCAACGCCGCGUGAGGGAAGACGGUAUUCGGAUUGUACACCUCUGUCAUUAGUGAAGAAUAAUGACGGUAGCUAAGGAGCAAGCCACGGCUAACUACGUGCCAGCAGCCGCGGUAAUACUUAGGGGGCAAGCGUUACCCGGAAUUACUGGGUGAAAAGGGAGCGCAGGCGGGAAGCCAAGUCAGCUGUGAAAACUACGGGCUUAACUUGUAGACUGCAGUUGAAACUGGUUUUCUUGAGUGAAGUAGAGGUUAGCGGAAUUCCGAGUGUAGCGGUGAAAUGCGUAGAUAUUCGGAGGAACACCAGUGGCGAAGGCGGCCAACUGGGCUUUAACUGACGCUGAGGCUCGAAAGUGUGGGGAGCAAACAGGAUUAGAUACCCUUGUAGUC
rnacentral:rRNA from 1 species